GGGGCUGCACAUGGAUUCGAUAGGGAGGCCCUCGGUAAUUUUAGUGCCAUGGCGGGAUCGCGCUGUCUCCCGCUAGAUCCGUCCAGCGCAACUCUACGUGCUAACGUAACCAAAUUGGAUGAGUCUGUUGUUGCAUUCAUCAACAGUAUUCGUCUGGCACCGGAACUUGUUCCGGUUGCCUAAUCGUCUGACCUUAACUCGGACGUCGUCCACUCUCUGAUUUCUCCUGCGGGAAUCUGGGCGUAACUUAGGAGGAUAAUCCCAGGGGCUCGUUCGCCCCCAGGGCCGAAAACUUAGAACUAAGCGAGUGAGGUUUUUUGUCCGCCCUUUAUCUUACUCGUCGAAAACUCAGGACGGACUGUCAUGGAAGAUCUAGGAUGCCGACUCUCUACACGUGGGUUCGAUCCCCACCAGCUCCACCA
rnacentral:tmRNA from 1 species